UAGGGAAUCUUCGGCAAUGGACGAAAGUCUGACCGAGCAACGCCGCGUGAGUGAAGAAGGUUUUCGGAUCGUAAAACUCUGUUGUUAGAGAAGAACAAGGACGUUAGUAACUGAACGUCCCCUGACGGUAUCUAACCAGAAAGCCACGGCUAACUACGUGCCAGCAGCCGCGGUAAUACGUAGGUGGCAAGCGUUGUCCGGAUUUUUUGGGCGUAAAGCGAGCGCAGGCGGUUUCUUAAGUCUGAUGUGAAAGCCCCCGGCUCAACCGGGGAGGGUCAUUGGAAACGGGGAGACUUGAGUGCAGAAGAGGAGAGUGGAGUUCCAGGGGUAGCGGUGAAAGGCGUAGAUAGAUGGAGGGACGCCAGUGGCGAAGGCGGCUCUCUGGUCUGUAACUGACGCUGAGGCUAGAAAGCGUGGGGAGCAAACAGG
rnacentral:rRNA from 1 species